CACCACCGGCGGACGGCUCAGUAACACGUCGGUAACCUACCCUCGGGAGGGGGAUAACCCCGGGAAACUGGGGCUAAUCCCCCAUAGGCCUGAGGUACUGGAAGGUCCUCAGGCCGAAAGGGGCUUUUGCCCGCCCGAGGAUGGGCCGGCGGCCGAUUAGGUAGUCGGUGGGGUAACGGCCCACCAAGCCGAAGAUCGGUACGGGCUGUGAGAGCAGGAGCCCGGAGAUGGACACUGAGACACGGGUCCAGGCCCUACGGGGCGCAGCAGGCGCGAAACCUCCGCAAUGCGGGAAACCGCGACGGGGGGACCCCGAGUGCCGUGGCACCGCCACGGCUUUUCCGGAGUGUAAAAAGCUCCGGGAAUAAGGGCUGGGCAAGGCCGGUGGCAGCCGCCGCGGUAAUACCGGCGGCCCGAGUGGUGGCCGCUAUUAUUGGGCCUAAAGCGUCCGUAGCCGGGCCCGUAAGUCCCUGGCGAAAUCCCACGGCUCAACCGUGGGGCUUGCUGGGGAUACUGCGGGCCUUGGGACCGGGAGAGGCGGGGGGUACCCCUGGGGUAGGGGUGAAAUCCUAUAAUCCCAGGGGGACCGCCAGUGGCGAA
rnacentral:rRNA from 1 species